rnacentral:rRNA from 1 species
UAGGGAAUCUUCGGCAAUGGGGGCAACCCUGACCGAGCAACGCCGCGUGAGUGAAGAAGGUUUUCGGAUCGUAAAGCUCUGUUGUAAGAGAAGAACGUGUGUGAGAGUGGAAAGUUCACACAGUGACGGUAACUUACCAGAAAGGGACGGCUAACUACGUGCCAGCAGCCGCGGUAAUACGUAGGUCCCGAGCGUUGUCCGGAUUUAUUGGGCGUAAAGCGAGCGCAGGCGGUUUAAUAAGUCUGAAGUUAAAGGCGGUGGCUUAACCAUUGUUCGCUUUGGAAACUGUUAAACUUGAGUGCAGAAGGGGAGAGUGGAAUUCCAUGUGUAGCGGUGAAAUGCGUAGAUAUAUGGAGGAACACCGGUGGCGAAAGCGGCUCUCUGGUCUGUAACUGACGCUGAGGCUCGAAAGCGUGGGGAGCAAACAGG